rnacentral:rRNA from 1 species
UACGGAGGAGGCAAGCGUUAUCCGGAAUUAUUGGGCGUAAAGCGUCCGCAGGUGGCUUGUCAAGUCUGCUGUCAAAGGUCAAGGCUUAACCUUGAAAAGGCAGUGGAAACUGACAAGCUAGAGGGCUCUAGGGGUAGAGGGAAUUCCCGGUGUAGCGGUGAAAUGCGUAGAGAUCGGGAAGAACAUCGGUGGCGAAAGCGCUCUACUGGAGAGCAACUGACACUCAGGGACGAAAGCUAGGGGAGCGAAUGGG